GACGUAGAUGCAGAAUUGCACCGAACCACUGUAAAUUUGUUGUCUUCUUGCUGCGGCUUGUUUUGCUUUCAUUACUUAUUUUUUAAUUCACAUAUUAUUGCUUAUAUAUCUUAAUUCCACCGUAGUAUAUUGUAUACACAACACAAGCACUUAAUUUUGAUUAAUUUGAAGAGUAUAAUAUCUUAAAGUUAGAUUGGAUAAAAAUUUUUAAAGAAUCCAAUUCAUCCUCUCCCUCCUUUUGGGUUAUUAAUCCUUCCAGGCAAAAUAUGUCAAUAUCCCCUGGAGCAUACCCUAGCAUCGAGCUUUUCAUGGGACGAUGGCAUUGAGCUCACCG
rnacentral:lncRNA from 1 species